rnacentral:lncRNA from 1 species
UGUAGGGGGGGGAGGUCCAAAGGGGCGGGAAGAAGAUAUGAGCUCCAGGAAGGAGGGCCAGCCGUGGCAAAGAAGGCAGGCCACUCCUGACUGCCCCACGGAAGUGUGCGGCGAUGUGGGGCCGCUGGGAACCCCGAGGAGAGCUGGAGCCCAGGAAGGUGACGCAGCAAGUGUAGACAAGAUGACGAGAGACUGGGAGCCGCACAAGAACGUAGAGACGCAAACGACUUCUGUCUGGUGGAGAAGACGGCCGGCCCCAACGGCUGCGGGUCGGUUUCCCUGCAGGGCACAGUCCCUUGGCUCUGACUUCGAGGACACGGUGGGGUGCCCGCCUAGCCUCACGACAGAGCGCCCUCCCCUCCACUGCCCCCCGAACCAGCCUUGCCAUGUUGCUGGUUCCCAGGCUAAUACACACACCGGGGCCCCAGCUCAGCGCGCUCCCACAGAAAUGCAGCCUGAGCUCGUGCGUAAUUGAAACGUGCCGCGGCCGAAAGAGAGGAGUGGCCAGGAGCACGGGCAGUCUAGAAUGUCUUAUUUCAUGCAAUGUCACCAGAUUCCGUUUCAACGUCUACUCCAUAAAAAAAGGUAUUAAUGACUAGUUUACAUUUCCCUGGUACAUUUUUUUUUUUUUUUUGGUGCGUAUCUUACGUUAACGGCACAUCUCAGUCGGGAUGUCCCAUUUUCACCCGUUACAGGGAAACAUGGCGACACCAGAACAACGAAGGUGCGUUUCAAGCAGGAGGGACUUGCGCCGCCCCCAUCGUUCAAGCUGUGAUCACAACGAACUGGGUGCCGCCUUGCUGGCCACGGUCCAGGCGCUGGUUCCCGGCCAGUCCAGGGGCUGAACCGCGUGGAGGUGCACCACCCAGUGGCCACGCCUGGUAGUGCAGGGCCCUUCGGGAUCUGGGGCCUUCCAGAAGCCAGGGUGUGAUGUUGGGCUCACAUUCCGGGAACAUUCCUGGGGUGGGGUGGGGGGUGGAGAGGAGGCCAGGGGAAGUAGGGCUGUCGUGCCCCGGAUCUCCAGGUCACUGAGUGGCGAGCAGGCUCCACAAGGGUGUUUUGUACCCUCGGCCACCCGCCUGUACACGCUGACCUGCCCAACUCCCAGAAGGCCAGGCAGGGGCCUUUCCGAGCCGUUCC